rnacentral:rRNA from 1 species
UUGAACGCUGGCGGCAUGCUUUACACAUGCAAGUCGAACGGUAACAGGCCUUCGGGUGCUGACGGGUGGCGAACGGGUGAGUAAUGCAUCGGAACGUACCCAGAGGUGGGGGAUAACGCAGCGGAAGCUGUGCUAAUACCGCAUGUGAUCUGAGGAUGAAAGCGGGGGACCGAGCAGCAAUGUUUGGCCUCGCGCCUUUGGAGCGGCCGAUGUCGGAUUAGCUAGUUGGUGGGGUAAAGGCCUACCAAGGCGACGAUCCGUAGCUGGUCUGAGAGGACGACCAGCCACACUGGGACUGAGACACGGCCCAGACUCCUACGGGGGGCAGCAGUGGGGAAUUUUGGACAAUGGGCGCAAGCCUGAUCCAGCAAUGCCGCGUGCGGGAAGAAGGCCUUCGGGUUGUAAACCGCUUUUGGCAGGAACGAAACGGUGUCCGCUAAUACCGGGCGCUAAUGACGGUACCUGCAGAAUAAGCACCGGCUAACUACGUG